rnacentral:rRNA from 1 species
GAUGAACGCUGGCGGCGUGCCUAAUACAUGCAAGUCGAGCGAACAGACGAGGAGCUUGCUCCUCUGACGUUAGCGGCGGACGGGUGAGUAACACGUGGAUAACCUACCUAUAAGACUGGGAUAACUUCGGGAAACCGGAGCUAAUACCGGAUAAUAUAUUGAACCGCAUGGUUCAAUAGUGAAAUACGGUUUUGCUGUCACUUAUAGAUGGAUCCGCGCCGCAUUAGCUAGUUGGUAAGGUAACGGCUUACCAAGGCGACGAUGCGUAGCCGACGUGAGAGGGUGAUCGGCCACACGGGAACUGAGACACGGUCAAGACUCCUACGGGAGGCAGCAGUAGGGAAUCUUCCGCAAUGGGCGAAAGCCUGACGGAGCAACGCCGCGUGAGUGAUGAAGGUCUUCGGAUCGUAAAACUCGGUUAUUAGGGAAGAACAAAUGUGGAAGUAACUAUGCACGUCUUGACGGUACCUAAUCAGAAAGCCACGGCUAACUACGUG